rnacentral:rRNA from 1 species
AAUGAACGCUGGCGGAAGGCCUAAAACAUGCAAGUCGAACGCUCUAGCAAUAGAGAGUGGCGCACGGGUGAGUAACAGGCGGGAAUAUGCCUUUUGGUACGGAACAACGUAUGGAAACGGACGCUAAUACCGUAUGGUAUCUCCGGGGUAAAGAUUUGUCGCCAAAAGAUUAGCCCGCGUCUGAUUAGCUAGGUGGUGAGGUAAUGGCCCACCAAGGGGAAGAGCAGUAGCUGGUCUGAGAGGACGAUCAGCCACACUGGGACUGAGACACGGCCCAGACUUCUACGGGAGGCAGCAGUGAGGGAUAUUGGACAAUGGGCGCAAGCCUGAUCCAGCCAUGCCGCGUGAGUGAUGAAGGCCUUCGGGUUGUAAAGCUCUUUCGUCCACGAAGAUAAUGACUGUAGUGGAAGAAUAAGCCCCGGCUAACUUCGUGCCAGCCGCCGCCGUAACAC